UAGGGAAUCUUCCGCAAUGGACGCAAGUCUGACGGAGCAACGCCGCGUGAGUGAAGAAGGAUUUCGGUUCGUAAAACUCUGUUGUUAGAGAAGAACAGCGCAUAGAGUAACUGUUAUGCGUGUGACGGUAUCUAACCAGAAAGCCACGGCUAACUACGUGCCAGCAGCCGCGGUAAUACGUAGGUGGCAAGCGUUGUCCGGAUUUAUUGGACGUAAAGCGAGCGCAGGCGGUCAAUUAAGUCUGAUGUGAAAGCCCCCGGCUCAACCGGGGAGGGUCAUUGGAAACUGGUUGACUUGAGUGCAGAAGAGGAGAGUGGAAUUCCAUGUGUAGCGGUGAAAUGCGUAGAUAUAUGGAGGAACACCAGUGGCGAAGGCGACUCUCUGGUCUGUAACUGACGCUGAGGCUCGAAAGCGUGGGUAGCAAACAGG
rnacentral:rRNA from 1 species